rnacentral:miRNA from 1 species
UUUGAAGCACUGACGCCUAUUUCU